UACGUAGGGGGCUAGCGUUGUCCGGAAUCAUUGGGCGUAAAGAGCGUGUAGGCGGCCCGGUAAGUCCGCUGUAAAAGUCAAAGGCUCAACCUUUGAAUGUCAGUGGAUACUGCCGGGCUAGAGUCCGGAAGAGGCGAGUGGAACUCCUGGUGUAGCGGUGGAAUGCGCAGAUAUCAGGAGGAACACCGGUGGCGAAGGCGGGUCUCUGGGCAGUAACUGACGCUGAGGAGCGAAAGCGUGGGGAGCGAACAGG
rnacentral:rRNA from 1 species